rnacentral:misc_RNA from 1 species
GGAGAACCUGCGGCUGGAUCACCUCCUUUCUAUGGAGAAAUCUAGCAAACAUGGCGUUUGACUAGUACAAAGAUGCAAAGCAUCUAUAAAAAUUACAACUUGCUCAAAGGUUACUUAAUGAGUAUUGAUUCUGUUCAAUUUUGAAAGACUAUGUCUUUCAAAAGCGAAGUCUAAUUAAUGACAAGUGAUUGUCAGUAGUAGACGAGCGAAAAUGUUCUUUGAAAAUUGCACAUAGAUUAAUGUAUAUAAUACAACAAAGCCAAGAAUAAUAUUCUUUGUGAAUGAUUAAUAUAACCAGUUUUGUAUAUCAAAACUUAAAAAGGUCAAGCUACAAAGGGCGCAUGGUGAAUGCCUUGGCAUCAGGAGCCGAUGAAGGACGUGAUAAGCUGCGAUAAGCUUCGGGUAGGCGCACAUAGCCAGAGAUCCGGAGAUUU